UACGAAGGGGGCUAGCGUUGCUCGGAAUCACUGGGCGUAAAGGGUGCGUAGGCGGCUUUCUAAGUCAGGGGUGAAAUCCUGGAGCUCAACUCCAGAACUGCCUUUGAUACUGGAGAGCUAGAGUCCGGAAGAGGUGAGUGGAACUGCGAGUGUAGAGGUGAAAUUCGUAGAUAUUCGCAAGAACACCAGUGGCGAAGGCGGCUCACUGGUCCGGUACUGACGCUGAGGUGCGAAAGCGUGGGGAGCAAACAGG
rnacentral:rRNA from 1 species